rnacentral:rRNA from 1 species
GACGAACCGUGCGAACGUUAUUCGGAAUCACUGGGCUUAAAGGGCGCGUAGGCGGGCCGCCCGGUCCGGGGUGAAAGCCUCCAGCUCAACUGGAGAAGUGCCUUGGAUACCGGCGGCCUCGAGGGAGGCAGGGGCGUGCGGAACUUCGGGUGGAGCGGUGAAAUGCGUAGAUAUCCGAAGGAACACCGGUGGCGAAAGCGGCGCGCUGGACCUCUUCUGACGCUGAGGCGCGAAAGCCAGGGGAGCAAACGGG